GGCCGGAUAGCUCAGUUGGUAGAGCAGGGGAUUGAAAAUCCCCGUGUCGGGGGUUCGACUCCCUCUCCGGCCACCA
rnacentral:tRNA from 1 species